GGAAGUAAUUGUUCACCUUCAUACCGGAUAGGGUAUUGCGACGGUGAUACAUUUGGCAUCCAUUAUUGGACGGGAUAUGAGAACGACUGAUUAACUAAUAAAUUGAAUAUUGGGUCUACGUGUAGGGAGAACCCCUAUGAACCGUCAAAGGUAACGGUAAACAGGUAAGAAAGAAAAGUUUGACUAUUAUUGUUCUUUAAAAUGUAUAAUAAAUUGCUAUAUUAAUUAUUGCCUUCACAAGUCAAAUUUGAAAACUUAAAAAGUUAGAAUAAAACUU
rnacentral:lncRNA from 1 species